rnacentral:rRNA from 1 species
CGGGUGCGUAACACGUGAGCAACCUGCCCCAAAGACCGGGACAACCCGAGGAAACUCGGACUAAUACCGGAUGCCCUCACCGGGUCGCAUGGUCUGGUGAGGAAAUGGAUUCCGCUUUGGGAUGGGCUCGCGGUCUAUCAGCUUGUUGGUGGGGUAACGGCCUACCAAGGCGACGACGGAUAGCUGGUCUGAGAGGACGAUCAGCCACACUGGGACUGAGACACGGCCCAG